rnacentral:tRNA from 1 species
GCCUGGGUGGCGGAAUUGGUAGACGCAAGGGACUUAAAAUCCCUCGGUGGGUUCCACCGUGCCGGUUCGAGUCCGGCCCCAGGCA